AAGAAUGGCCCCUCGUGGGGGGGUUUGACGGUACCGUACGAAUAAGGAUCGGCUAACUCCGUGCCAGCAGCCGCGGUAAUACGGAGGAUCCAAGCGUUAUCCGGGAUUUACUGGGUUUAAAGGGUGCGUAGGCGGGCGCUUAAGUCAGCGGUGAAAGGCAGCGGCUCAACCGUUGAAUUGCCGUUGAAACUGGGCGCCUUGGAUUCGGUCGAGGCCGGCGGAAUGCGUGGUGUAGCGGUGAAAUGCUUAGAUAUCACGCGGAACGCCGAUUGCGAAGGCAGCUGGCCAGACCGAGAUCGACGCUGAGGCACGAAAGCGUGGGGAUCAAACAGGAUUAGAUACCCUGGUAGUCCACGCCGUAAACGAUGAUCACUGGAUGCCGGCGAUACACCGUCGGUGUCUGAGCGAAAGCAUUAAGUGAUCCACCUGGGGAGUACGAUCGCAAGGUUGAAACUCAAAGGAAUUGACGGGGGCCCGCACAAGCGGAGGAACAUGUGGUUUAAUUCGAUGAUACGCGAGGAACCUUACCUGGGCUAGAACGCCGAGCGCAUAUGGGGGAAACCCCAUAGCCAGCAAUGGCGGUCGGCGAGGUGCUGCAUGGUUGUCGUCAGCUCGUGCCGUGAGGUGUCGGGUUAAGUCCCAUAACGAGCGCAACCCCUACUGUUAGUUGCCAGCGGAUCAUGCCGGGGACUCUAACGGAACUGCCAGCGUAAGCUGUGAGGAAGGUGGGGAUGACGUCAGAUCAGCACGGCCCUUACGUCCAGGGCUACACACGUGUUACAAUGGCCGGUACAGAGGGCAGCCACCCCGCGAGGGGGCGCGAAUCCUCAAAGCCGGUCCCAGUUCGGAUCGGAGUCUGCAACCCGACUCCGUGAAGCUGGAUUCGCUAGUAAUCGCGCAUCAGCCACGGCGCGGUGAAUACGUUCCCGGGCCUUGUACACACCGCCCGU
rnacentral:rRNA from 1 species